GAGGGUAUAGCUCAGUGAUAGAGCAUGGGCUUAGCAUGCAGGAGGUCCUGGGUUCAAUCCCCAGUACCUCCA
rfam:Camelus ferus unplaced genomic scaffold scaffold823, whole genome shotgun sequence.